GGUAAUGUAGCUCGGUUGGUCAGAGCCAUGGGUCGGAGGUUCGAGCCCUCCCACUACCG
rnacentral:tRNA from 1 species